rnacentral:sRNA from 1 species
UCCUCCCUCUCGAUUCUCUUCUUUUUCCGUACGAACCGUACGGACAAACUCCAACCCUCACGAAACUUUGCAAAUCGAACCUUUAGAGGCCAUGUUUGAGUUCCUUGUAACCUUAGGAUCUUAACCAAACCAUUUUUAGGACGUGAAAGCUUCGGGAUCGUAAGAACCAAGAACCCCAAAUUGAGGUACUGUUCAUGCACACAUUAAUGUGGAGUUUUUGAGAGAUUUCAAGGUUAUAGGAAGCUUUAGAACGUCUUCACGAAGCUCGGAGAAGAAAAACGAAGUGUUUGGACGUCGAGAAGUCGAGUUUGGCGAGUUUCAAGUUUUGGCCGGAUUAUCGAGUUUUCUCCGUCGAGAUUCCGUGGAUUUCAAGCCUUGAAAUUGUUUUCCGGCGACGGCGACGGUCACCGGAGUCGAAGGAAGAAGAUGAGCGAAUAUUCCAGAAGACUUAUCCCGAGGACGAUUGCAGUCAAGGGCGACUCGGGGGCUACGACCCUUCGACAUACCAGUUUUAGGUAGACUUGUUGUUGGUGGCAUUUGUGGAUCUCGGUGGUUCUGACAAAAUAUAAUAUUCGUAGGACCUCUUCUGGUACUGUAUAACUAGUACUUGUCCUACUGGACUGCACCUAGACUUUCUACGCUCUGAUUAGGUGUAUUUACACUUGUAU